rnacentral:rRNA from 1 species
AUGCUUUCUUCAGGGGGCACUACCAAUAUGAUGUCUUGGGUGUCCGAGGAGCUACUUGGUAACAUUGGCAUGCCUCAAGGUCCGGCUUCAACCACCUUGUUGGAUGAGUUCCUAAGUAGUUUCAGUUGCACAGCGCCGCGGUCCUUGCUUGAAGCACCGAUUCAUGUGCAGAUUGAAGGGGCAUCUACUUGUCCCGAGAGGCGUAGUGGACGUUUGGAUAAGAAGAACAAAAGUUGCAACAUCCCGACUGCCAAGCGUGCUGAAUAUAGGUUGGCGGAGGCUUUUGGAGAGCUACCGAAGGGAACGACAUCUAAGAAAGUCAACGAGGAGGAUGUGCAAGAGAAGAUGAAGACUUAUUUGCAGAUGUACAAGAAACCGCUCACGUCGACGGCGAUCCAGGCAAUUCGUGCCUUGGUGGAGGUUAAUGUGUGA